UCACAGCAGUUCUGCAGCUUCCUCACCGGGAGGAGGGGCAGGCCCUGAGCUCUGCUCUGUGUGACCAGGGACAGGACCCGAGGGAAUGGCCGGAGCUGCGCCAGGGGACGGGAAGGGUGGAUUUUAGGAAAAGUUCUUCAAGCAGAGGAUGGUCAGGCACUGAACGGGCUCCCCCGCGCAGUGGUCGCGGCACGCAGCCUGACAGAGCUCCAGGAGUCUUUGCACAACCGUCUUGGGCACAGGGUGGGAUUGCCGCGGUGUCCUGUGCAGGGCCAGGAGUUGGACUGGAUGAUCUUUGUGGGUCCCUUUCAGUUCCAGACAUUCUGUGAUGCUGUAAUAACUGUGUCCCUCUCCGGUUUGGAGACAGCACUUGUUUGCUUUGCCUCUGGAGUGCACGUGACCCCACCAGCCCAGGUGUCCCGACCAGCUUAAGAAUCAGAGGUGUGUAUCCUCCAGGAUGUGCUCAGAAGAUUUCAGCAAAAGAGAAAGAGGGAGCUUGCUCAACCACCAGAGAAGCCCUACACCCCACAGCCAGGCGAUCCUGAACCCUCCCUUCCCUGUGAGACCCGUGUGGAGUCUCCCAGGCACGAAAACUCCCCUCAGAAGUGGCACGAGGAUCAGCUCCUGCAGCUGAGAUUCCCAUUCCACAUCACUGCAUUUACAGUCAGCAGCGAGGAAAGGGAUGCUUCAAAUUCCCAGAAGCUGACUCUGGAUCGUGUCUCUCUUAGUUUGGUGUCAGACCUCUGGGACAUUAUAUAAAUAGCCAGUGCAUCUUCCCACUGCAUUUUCUAAGUUCCUAGCAGCUGGCAGCGGGUUGGAGUUGGUCAUCCUGACUGGAAAACUGCUCCUCUUCUUUCCAGAAAAGGAAAACUUACUGUCUGAGGUGGGCUUAACCUCUCCCCCAAUCCUUGGCACCUCCAGCAGCUGCAGAGGCAGUUUUCUGUUUGGUUUUGUGAAUCGUAUCUUGAGAUACCUUGCUUUCUCUGUCUGCUGCAUGGAGAGUUUGAGUGCUUGAACACAUCUGGAACCCAGCACAGUGUGAGCAGGAGAGGGCCUGUCCCAUGCUGUGAGUACCCCACGUGGAUUGGGCUGCGCUAUGUCUUAGCCCACCAAACUCUGGGCUGCAGCAGCUGAGUGCGUGGCAUGCCCCUUUCCCUUCAAGGACACACCUCCUGGGGGUGUACACACAUCUCUAUAUCCCUGGAAAUAUACCCUUGGUAUGUUCCUUCCCUGCAAAGAGCCCCAGCGGCACCAAGAGCAGGGCCCUGUACCCUGAACUGCUCCUGCUUCCUGCAGUGCCUUGUGCUAUCGUCAGGCCGAGGGGCAGCUGGGACAUUAACCUCCCACUCCUCCCACUCCAACAUCCUCCUCGUAAACAUCCCGUCCCGCUUAAGUCCUGUGCUGUCACAUCCUCUCUGCUCUGCCCAGAUGCUAUUCUGGAUUUAGUUCCAUAUGCAGAGCACACAGCUGGGCAUGCCAAAAUCCAGGCAGGCAGCAGGACAGAACAGUAACUUGGUUCAGCUGCUGACAUAUCACAAGUACUGCGGAGGAGGGGAGCUGUGUAAGGGUCUUCUUAAAACUAAAAUCCUCUGCUUGAGCUCUCCUUGGAGAGCCAGUUUGCUUCCCUAGGCAUGUUCAGCAGCUGUACCUUACUCCAAGCAGACUCAAACGUGCAUGCGGCCUGAAAAGCCUUGGUAAUAAUGGAAGGGAGCAGAACAGGGAGCUUGGAAGCUGCAGCACAGUAAGUUUACACAAGCAGCAAGUUAAACACCCAUCCCCGGUGAGUCAGUCCUGGCCAUUUCCUUCAUUUCCUCCAAGGCUCCCUGUGAACAUCCAGCAGUAGCGGCCCUUCUGAAAUCCAGUUGUCUCCUUUCCUGCCCCCUUGUUUACAGCUUUCCUUCAGGAGGGAGCAGAGUUCCAGCCUCCAGCACUGCCUUUUCACUGCAGCAGGCUGAGAGAAGGGCAGACCCUCCCCGGCCUCGGCUCAGCUUCGGUACCACAGUGCUCUUGUUGCUUUUCUGAGUGCCAGCACCUUCCUGAGCAACAGCAGGUGCUGAGAUAAGAGAGGAAAAAGUAUCACAGUUGCACAGUACUUCUUUUUUAAAAUCUUGAAUGCAGCUGUAUUGUUGACGGAGGUUCAUUAUCCCUACAGCCAUACCUUUGGAAUCAGUCUGGGAGGGCAGAAAGGAUGCAGUGGGGCAUUACAUUGUUUCAAGUGCACAAACCAUCCCUCAGAAAUCUGGGUUGGAGAUUCUCUGCUUCAGAUUGAGGCGUAUCUCUUGUUCUGAUUCCCCCACAUGAUAGCAGCUAGGGAGGGGGACUAUUUUUAGCUUUUGUUUCUUGGUUUGUUUGCAGGAAGUUCUUCAUUUGUGGGAGUGAACUUGGGUGUCUUAGUCUGAGAAUGCCCUUCAGUGCCAGCUGUGGAUGCAGUUACAAGGGUGAAUUCCUGCUGUUGUCUGGGAGAGUCAUCAUUUAUCCCAGGUGUUGAAGAAACUAUGGGCUUCACACAGAUAUAUACUGAUUUCUGGGAUCUUUCUUGAAAUUUUUUCAAGGAGAUGUUCAGGUGGCUGUGACAGAACAGUUUAGCGAAAUACAGAACUGGGAAAUUCCUUUGGGUGAUAUGGCCAGAAAUGCUCUUCUGUGUGAAAUUAGUUAUAAAUCCACAUUGGUCACAUGACCUGAGUUAAUUACAGUAGCUCUGAGACAAAACCCAUAUUGUCAAAGAACAUGAACAUCCCAGGACAAGAACAGACCAAAAUGGGCUUCCCCCAUUUCCUUCUCAAGUGCCUUCUGGGAAUUCCAAAGAGCCUGCAGCCAACAAGUGACCUAGAUACAAUGCCGUGUUUGCUCUUAUGGAGUAAAACCAGGAGCAAAAAAAUCCACCCAAAUUAUAUCUCUUUAUAAUACUUACUCAGUUUUCAGCCAGGGUUGGGGGUUUUUUUCCUACAAAAAGCGGCAAGAAUUGUUUGUACAAAUGGAUACCUGCAUAUGAGCCAUGGAGGGAUAGGUUUUUGUCAUGAUGAAUUAUGUACUGGUUACAGUGAAGGUCUACAUUGGGUGGAUUAAGUGUGAAUGGCCCGUUUAGUGUGUUGUACAAAUUUCUUCCAAAGUAAUUGCAGUGCUUGGCCUGAUGUGCAAGUUGGGCCAUUGUCCUACACAGCUGAAUUCCCCUUUUUUAACAGGGUCUGCCAGGAAAAUUUAAACAAAUGGACAAGGCUACAGACUGUCUUGAGACAAAGGCUGCUGUUAGGGGCACGAGAGAAUGGGAUGGUCUGGAGAGUCCCUGCCUGUCAGCCGUGAAAGGUGGUAAAAGAAUGCUUUUAUUUGCACACAUCCUCUAGCCUGACAUUGCCCAACAGUUCACUUGGGGAGGCUGAUGGGCUUUCCCAGCUCAGUUUACAGCUGCAAUCCAGACUGAUACCAAGGAAAAUGACUGCUCAUGCCACAGCUUCAGAAAGGUGUGGGCUGCACACAUGCAGAUGUUGGCUUCGUUGACCUUCCCUGAUUUUCAUGGAAUUGAGGGUAGGAAAGGCCAGUCUCAAACAGCAAAAGCAGGCAAGAUCACCUCAGAUGUUCCUUUAGUUUUGCUAAAAAAUGUCAACUGGGCAGAAGAACAAACUACUGCUCAGAGCAUAGCUACAAACCAAAGAAAGAAGAAAGAAAUCCCUACGUCUCUGCUGCUCAAGAUUUCACGUGAACAACUGCAGCAAAACAUGACUCGGAACUUCACAUCUAUUUGUUUACAUACUGUUUUUCAAAAGACAGAAGGAAAUAGCUUAAAAGUUAGUCCAAUUCCAUUAAAAUCCUUUUCUUUGGGUUUAAUAAAGUAUGGAUUUUUUUCACAAGCAAGAAGCUCCUUUGAAUAAAUAUUGGGGGAAAAGGAACUAUAAAGGGGUUAUAUUCUCUGAAGCAGUUACCCAACCUUUAAUGAUGCACACUGUGGUUAAAGGAACCUGUUUCCUGCUCACCAGUAGCAUUUGGGAACUCAGUGGUGGAAUUCUCAGUGGAACUCAAGUAAGCUCUUACAUUUUUAGGAGAAUUUCCCUCGGCCAAACUUUCAAAAAUUACAUUUGAUAUAUGUAAUGCAGUAUAAUAUCACAUUAUUUUCUUCCUGUUGAAUAUAUGGCUUUUUAUACUAUAUAAGCCCUAUUCCCACCUGAUUAAUAUAUGUAGAUUUAUACCGAAGUGUCCGUGCAAGUAAAUAACACAAACUUGAAUUUAAA